ACCUAAAUAUGAUGAAUUAAUAAAUAAAUAAAUAAACGAAGCGGGUAGUGUGCUACCUAUCUCUCAAAAAAAAAAUAAAAAUAUUAUAAUAUCCUAUAACCCCUAUAUAGCAAUGAUAUUUUAAAUGAACAAAGCAGAUAAUAUAGCACACUACGGCUUAGUUUGGUAUUGAGGUCUAUCUAACACUAUUAGAUAAAAUAGAGUUGAGAAAAAAAUAUAUAGGGAUGGAGUUGAGAAAAAAGCAUAUAAGGAUAUGCUUCUGUGUUAUCUGGUGGAACCGCAGAAAAUAUAUCAUAACCGACUCAUCACGAUAUGUGGAACACAAUAUUACGUACGGAAACAAACAGAGUAUUUUUCCAGCGUACUUUCUCACGAAUCUCCCCGCAAUCCCAAACGAAACAUACCUUUCUAAAAAAAAUAAAAAAAUCUUCAGUCUAGUUUGUACGUUAUCGGUAAUGCAAAAAUUUUCUUGUUACUAAGUUAUUUUUUAUCAUGAAACAUUUGAAUAAACGAUCGACUUCAUUAAACAUGUUAUACACUAUUAAGAUAUAUCUCGAAAUAAAAUUUUAUAUAUUUUUUUACAUUAUUUAGCAAAUGAACAAAAGGCCUGAAAAUUAAUAAUUUUAAUAGUCUAUUUGAUGUAUUUAUAAGUUUAAUGUUGUAGAACAAUCUAAAUCCAGUAAAAUAAUAAAAAAAAAACUUUUCACUAUU
rnacentral:lncRNA from 1 species